rnacentral:rRNA from 1 species
GAUGAACGCUGGCGGCGUGCCUAAUACAUGCGAGUCGAGCGAACGGACGAGAAGCUUGCUUCUCUGAUGUUAGCGGCGGACGGGUGAGUAACACGUGGAUAACCUACCUAUAAGACUGGGAUAACUUCGGGAAACCGGAGCUAAUACCGGAUAAUAUUUUGAACCGCAUGGUUCAAAAGUGAAAGACGGUCUUGCUGUCACUUAUAGAUGGAUCCGCGCUGCAUUAGCUAGUUGGUAAGGUAACGGCUUACCAAGGCAACGAUGCAUAGCCUACCUGAGAGGGUGAUCGGCCACACUGGAACUGAGACACGGUCCAGACUCCUACGGGAGGCAGCAGUAGGGAAUCUUCCGCAAUGGGCGAAAGCCUGACGGAGCAACGCCGCGUGAGUGAUGAAGGUCUUCGGAUCGUAAAACUCUGUUAUUAGGGAAGAACAUAUGUGUAAGUAACUGUGCACAUCUUGACGGUACCUAAUCAGAAAGCCACGGCUAACUACGUG